rnacentral:rRNA from 1 species
GACGAACGCUGGCGGCGUGCUUAACACAUGCAAGUCGAACGGAAAGGCCCUGCUUUUGUGGGGUGCUCGAGUGGCGAACGGGUGAGUAACACGUGAGUAACCUGCCCUUGACUUUGGGAUAACUUCAGGAAACUGGGGCUAAUACCGGAUAGGAGCUCCUGCUGCAUGGUGGGGGUUGGUAAGUUUCGGCGGUUGGGGAUGGACUCGCGGCUUAUCAGCUUGUUGGUGGGGUAGUGGCUUACCAAGGCUUUGACGGGUAGCCGGCCUGAGAGGGUGACCGGCCAAAUGGGAAAGAGGAACGGGCCAAGAAGCAGAAGGGGGGAAGGAGGGGGAAAUUUUGCAAAAGGGGGGGAAGCUGGAUGAAGAAACGCCGGGGGGGGGAGGAGGGCUUGGGGGUUGGAAACCGAUUUCGCUGGGAACGAAGAGUGGGGAAGGGAAAGGGGUAAAAAAACACGGAUAAAUUAGGG